rnacentral:rRNA from 1 species
AUUGAACGCUGGCGGCAGGCCUAACACAUGCAAGUCGAACGGUAACAGGAAGAAGCUUGCUUCUUUGCUGACGAGUGGCGGACGGGUGAGUAAUGUCUGGGAAACUGCCUGAUGGAGGGGGAUAACUACUGGAAACGGUAGCUAAUACCGCAUGACGUCGCAAGACCAAAGAGGGGGACCUUCGGGCCUCUUGCCAUCGGAUGUGCCCAGAUGGGAUUAGCUAGUAGGUGGGGUAACGGCUCACCUAGGCGACGAUCCCUAGCUGGUCUGAGAGGAUGACCAGCCACACUGGAACUGAGACACGGUCCAGACUCCUACGGGAGGCAGCAGUGGGGAAUAUUGCACAAUGGGCGCAAGCCUGAUGCAGCCAUGCCGCGUGUAUGAAGAAGGCCUUCGGGUUGUAAAGUACUUUCAGCGGGGAGGAAGGGAGUAAAGUUAAUACCUUUGCUCAUUGACGUUACCCGCAGAAGAAGCACCGGCUAACUCCGU